GAUGAACGCUGGCGGCGUGCCUAAUACAUGCAAGUCGAGCGAACAGAUGAGGAGCUUGCUCCUCUGACGUUAGCGGCGGACGGGUGAGUAACACGUGGAUAACCUACCUAUAAGACUGGGAUAACUUCGGGAAACCGGAGCUAAUACCGGAUAAUAUAUUGAACCGCAUGGUUCAAUAGUGAAAGACGGUUUUGCUGUCACUUAUAGAUGGAUCCGCGCCGCAUUAGCUAGUUGGUAAGGUAACGGCUUACCAAGGCAACGAUGCGUAGCCGACCUGAGAGGGGGGUAGGCCACACUGGAACUGAGACACGGUCCAGACUCCUACGGGAGGCAGCAGAAGGGAAUCUGCGGCAAUGGGCGAAAGCCUGACGGAGCAACGCCGCGUGAGUGAUGAAGGUCUUCGGAGCGUAAAACUCUGUUAUUAGGGAAGAACAAAUGUGUAAGUAGCUAUGCACGGCUUGACGGUACCGGAUCAGAAAGCCACGGCUAACUACGUG
rnacentral:rRNA from 1 species